ACGCCGUGAUAACUUGCAAAGUUUUUUU
rnacentral:sRNA from 1 species